AACGAACGCUGGCGGCAGGCUUAACACAUGCAAGUCGAACGAGAUCUUCGGAUCUAGUGGCAGACGGGUGAGGAACACGUGGGAACAUUCCUUUCAGUUCGGAAUAACGUUGGGAAACUAACGCUAAUACCGGAUGCGUCCUUCGGGAGAAAGAUUUAUCGCUGAAAGAUUGGCCCGCGUCUGAUUAGCUAGUUGGUGAGGUAACGGCUCACCAAGGCUACGAUCAGUAGCUGAUCUGAGAGGAUGAUCAGCCACAUUGGGACUGAGACACGGCCCAAACUCCUACGGGAGGCAGCAGUGGGGAAUAUUGGACAAUGGGCGCAAGCCUGAUCCAGCCAUGCCGCGUGAGUGAUGAAGGCCUUCGGGUUGUAAAGCUCUUUUAUCCGGGAAGAUAAUGACUGUACCGGAAGAAUAAGCCCCGGCAAACUUCGUGCCAGCAGCCGCGGUAACAC
rnacentral:rRNA from 1 species